GAGUUGUGGAAGAUUUGCAGAUCCUGUAGUUUUGCAGUUGAAGCUGAUGACCAGCAGCUGACUACAGGUCUGGAGGCUGAGGAGCAAGUGGGAUGACUCUGAGCUGUCCAAGGGAGAUCUACAAGCAACUUGCAAGUUUAUAGGUGCACACAGAUUGCCUGGAAAAGUACCAGGCCAUUCCAUUUUUAAGCAGCGAUGAAGAAAGAUGGAAGCCUACAUAUAUCGUUCCAGUGUAAAAUCACACAGGGGGAACAAAAUAAGUCUGAGAAGUCUACAAUUAUUUGGAUCUUAAGUUUCUACGAAUUAUCUCAUAUUCUCCUUACGUCUGUGAGAUUAUCUGAGAUUCCAGAUAGGGAUAUUUCAGGCCAAGAAAGGAAGACAAUAAAGACUGGGAAUCCGUGAGAAAUCAAGACUGCAAUGCUGUAGGUUCUCAGCAUAGACUUGCAGGAAGACUAAUCAAAGGCUUUCCCCUGGCCACCACCAGAACCUUUAAUGAAGUCCAGCUGGUUGUUGUACUGCUUUUGGCUCCAUGACCCAUGUGUGUACUCUGGGAAGAGGGGGCUCAUGCAGAGUAAAUGGAUUUGAUGCUGCUUCAAGCCACGUUACAGUACUCAAGGUUUACAGCAUAUGGUUCCCAGAUUUUCCAGUGGAAAAUGUCAUUCAGACCUGCUGCUCCUUAGUUCUUCAUACAUCCUCUGCUAUGCUUCCUAUUUCACUAUGACCUACAAACCACCUGAAGGUUUUGGAGGAGAGGGUUGUGCAAAGGGAAAAGAUAACAUCAAAUGUUGCAUUCUUGGCUUAUUUUUCCUCCUGCUUCAUUACAAAAGAUGCAAAGCAGAAAAAUGGACACGCUAAAUGUAAAAAUAUCCAACAAAAAAUACCCUUUUUUUUUACAUUAGAAAAUAGAAAAUAAUGCUAUUAAACUUAUUUAUAAACAGAAUGAUGGAAGGUGUUUUUCUUUUUUUUUUCUCCUUACUUUCACUUGUAGUUUUCCUUCUAUCUCUGCAAACUGCAUCCCUGAAAAUUAAUUACAGAAAUACACAGCAACUGCAUGUCAAGAUGAUGUCUAUAUUUCAUGUGCAUUAAGUGAAUGGGGAAAGUUUCUCUGUGGAUACCUCUUCUGCUUUUUAAUAAAUUCUUUCUUUUGCCUGAAGAGAAUUAGAA